rnacentral:lncRNA from 1 species
CAAUCAUUUUGUUACAUGCAAACAUAUACACAAGGCAGUCUCGCUAACUGAUUUACGUUGCUGGCCAAAUCUUACUAGGAGAUGAGAAGGCAACUUACCUUUUCUGUCUUUCUGAUGCCACCCGUUAUAUAUCUUGCAGGUUUUCUAUUAUAAAACCUUGUUGUGGUCAUACAAAACUCCACCUUUCAAGAGAAUGAUUAGAAGCAAUUGAGAGAAUCACAACUAUUCAAGCUAUUACUAUAAGUUGUAUAUUAAUCUCCAUAAACGUGUCAACUUGCAAUUUUUUAUUUAAUUAGUUCCUAAUGCAUAUGAAUCAAUACAUUCAUAUGUGCUUGAAAUAUAAGAAUGAGCAGAAUCAAUAUAUUUUUGAGAUAUUUUAUUCUUUUUUUUUUUUUUUUUACUGAGUCAUUUUGGUGGUUUUCAGUGGCCUGUCCUAUCUCUAAAUGCAUGUCAUGAAGCUUAUAUUGUUCACAUAGAAAAUAUUGUAUUUCUGAGUUGCUCUACAGAUGAAUUUGUGCUCUUCAUUUGACUUCAUUUUAUUUGUGUCAUCUUACCAGGUUAUUGGUCUAUAUUGAUUGGGAAAAUCUUUUUUUGUCAAUCAAAUUCUCUCCCUUUCAAAUUAUGAAGGUGCUAUUUAUUUAUUUAGGCACGUAACAUGUUACUAUUACAGAUGUUAUCUUGUGAUCUGAUUUCUUCUUAUUCCUGAGAUUUCAAAUUCAAAUUUAUGUGUGAUACUAAGACAAAAGGUAUAUCGUAUAGCAGAUUUACUGGGAUAUGGCUUUUGUCUGUAGGACAUAGGUGACAAGCCAUUUCUAGAUGUGGCUCAACCUAUUUAGUUGAUUUUCUCAUUAUUAUGGGUUUGUGGAGCUCCAUUGGAAUUGGAUAUACAUGGAGUAAAAACUUCUGUUUUCUAUCUUCUAUCUUGAUACAGAGGUUUUGAUAAUGUUUGGAAAUUAAAUGUAUAUGAUGAUAGGUAAUAUCCAAAGUACAUUGUUACUUUUUUUCUUCUCAAAACUUACAUAUUAAAAGGAAAAUAUUGUCUGUCAACAGAUACUUGUGAUUUUUACAUAUUCUGUCUUUCAGGGUUUUUGCCCUAGCGAUUGUCGCAAGUUCUAUGCUUAUAUAUAACCUAUCUGAGAUGGUUUUCCUGUGCCGCGUGAUGAUGUGUUGAGUCAAAAUACAUAUCCAGGUCAUAUUAUGGAUAUGUCAAAGGUGGUGCAAAACAUUCUUUUCAUAAAUGAUAGCAUGUACUCACAAUGUAUUGGUCCUUACUCACGUUUAGAAACUUUAUGUGGAUGUUUACAUACGAGUUUUGAGUUAACAAAAGCAUAUAAUUAAGUGUCAUUAGUCCAUUUAUAAUUUUCUCUAAACAGAGUUAUCUUAGUAAGCCUUAAAGCCUAGAGUUCAUUUUCUUGGUAUAUAUGUAUUUAUAUGUUUCGAGUUAAAAUAAUAUAUUGGUUUAAUUUUAUGCUUAGGUUCAUCAUUUGUAGUUGAGCUUGUUGAAGAAGUUUAUGGCAGGUAUUUAAUAACUUGUAGGCUUAGCAAUGUCACAAAUGCUAUAGACUUAGGUUAAUUUAAUUUACUGUUAUCCCCAGUUUCCAAAAUUUUCCACUUAUAAUAGUUUGUUUUUCAUACAUGUACAUACUUCCUUAACAGAGUCAAUGUAGUCAUUGCACCUUUCUAAUGUUUUAUAAGAAUAUUAUCUUAACAUGCUAAAUAAAAACAAAGAAAUGAGUUCUCAGGACAUCAUCUUUGCUCUCUACUAAUGUUUACAACAGGGGCAAGAUGUUGCUUUUGGACCAGCAAAGCUCUUGUGGCUAAUGCAGCACGAUUUUCUACAUAAUUCUUUCUAUGAUGUUUAAGAAUGACCUGUGGGCAUGAAAUGUCAUGUUAUUAUGUUAUAUGCACGUAUUGUAAAUGACAUCCUUUUCCCUUCUAUAAUGGAAGCUUAGUUUAAUUUUUGGUGUUCAUGGGUCGUCCUUUUUGAGAUAGAAUGUGAUUGUAAAAUUGCUUCUUUCCGUUUUCUUUUGUUAGUUCAAGUGCUCUAUUUUGUGAUUUCUUGAACUUCUCGAUCAUUUUAGUCAUUUUUGGCACGUGUAGUGGG